CCCUUAGAUGUUCUGGGCCGCACGCGCGCUACACUGAUGCAUUCAACGAGCCUAGCCUUGACCGGGAGGUCCGGGUAAUCUUUGAAACUGCAUCGUGAUGGGGCUAGAUUAUUGCAAUUAUUAAUCUUCAACGAGGAAUGCCUAGUAAGCGUGAUUCAUCAAAUCGCGUUGAUUACGUCCCUGCCCUUUGUACACACCGCCCGUCGCUCCUACCGAUUGAGUGUGUUGGUGAGGAGUUCGGAUUGGCUCUUAGUGGUGGUUCGCCACCACCUAGAGCUGAGAAGUUCUCCAAACCGCCCCACUUAGAGGAAGGAGAAGUCGUAACA
rnacentral:rRNA from 1 species